UAAAUUUCACUUCACAGGAUCAUUUCUGUAGUUAAUCUUCACUUACUUUCUUUGCAUGUGUAGUAGAACGACUGAGCUGAUAUUUUGGG